AUGAGCCAUUCGCAGUUUCACUGUACCGCCCGUGUGUACUUAGACAUGCAUGGCUUAAGCUUUGAGACAAGCAUAUGCUACUGGCAGGAUCAACCAGGUAGCCGCCACCCACGGCGGCGCCGCGCGGACGACAACGGCGGCCCGGACGCGCCCGGCCCGCCGGCGAACGCGCGCCCCGCCGAGCCCGACCGCCCCGCGGCUCUCUCGCCGCUCCGACCCGCGGGGGGAGCGGCAUGCGGAGGAGGGAGGCGGCGGCGGCGGCGGCGGCGCGGCGGCGCGACGGGCGCCGGCGGCGGCGGCGGCCGGGGCCGCCUCGCGGCCCGGCGGCGCCUGGGGCGGGGAACGGCGCCACGCGCGAGGGACGGAGGCCCUCGGCGACGGCCGACCCCGGCGGCCGGCCCUUCCCGCGACGCCGCGGGCAAGGAGCCGGGACCGCUGCGCAGCUUUUCGCCAUUCGGAGGUAGAGGCGCGAGGCUUCGCCUCUCUCUUCUCUCUCUCUGGGCUUGCUCCCUUUUCUCUCUCUCUCUCUCUCUCUCUCUCUCUUUCGUCCCGGGGCCCGCGCCCCGGGUUCCAGAGACUCGGCCUCGCGCUCCCCCCCGGCAAAGUCGCGCGCGCGGCGCGCGGAACGGGACUCGGCCGGGGCUGACCCGCCCCCCCCCAAAGCCGAGAGAACCCGCCCGCCGACCGGUCGCGGGCGAGCGACCGGCCGCCGGCGAGGUUGGGCCGAGCGGAUAAAAGCGCCGGACGUGCUAGAGGAGACGGCGACCCGACGAGGCGGGGGCGGCUCGCUCUGCAGCAGGCGGCGGAACGGCAAAAGGAGCGCGCGGAUCGGGCUCUGCUCCCCCGUCCGCGCCCCAUCGCGCUUCGGUCCUUUUCGCCUCUCUCUCUCUCUCUCUCUCUCCGUCUCGCGGCUCAGCUCCAGCCGCACCGCCGCCCGGCGCUGCUCGCGGCCGGCACCCACGGGGCGCUACCCGGACCGGGGCCGGCACCGGCACACCUCGCGUGGUUUGAAGGACACCUGAAGGCUCGCGGGGCCACGCGGCCGUCACACAGCUGGGCACGGUAAAGACGCCCUCCCCGCCAGCGGGAGGGGCGACACCUCGCCUGCGACAGGAAGCGAAUUGGAAAGGAGACCGCCCUGCCCGAGCACCGGACUCCCCCCGCCGUGGCUUCCCCGUGACAGAGAAGCCCCGGAAGGAGAGCCGGCCCGCCGGGGGCCCUCUCCGACGCCACCCGAAAAGCCUCAUCGAUCAGCCGCGGCCCAGCAAGGAGCCGCGCAAACGGCGACAAGGGCCCCACGGCCACGGUCCUGGGACAACGGGCGAGAAAAAGCGCCACCGGACCUUGUCGCCACGGGGGCCACCGGCUUUCGCCCGGGCCUCGCGGCGGGGUCGGCUUUCCCCCCUUCCGGAGAAAAACAAAAAGCCGGGGG
rnacentral:lncRNA from 14 species